ensembl:lncRNA LINC01270 long intergenic non-protein coding RNA 1270
AGAACUCGGGUAUUAAUGACCCGGAGCCACAUGACGGAGCAUGACACAGCACUUUUGGGCACAAGGCAGGGCCCAGAGGGGUGCGUGGGGGCCGCAGCCCAGCCCCCAAGCCCCGCCAGCGGCUUUACUGGGGUGUAACAAACACACGAUAAACUGCGCAUAUUCCAGUGUUCAUGUGGAUGAGUUUGGACAUAUGCACACACUUCCGAAACCACCAGCACAAUCAAGACAGCAGACAUAUCCAUCGCCCCCAAGGGUGUCCUUGUGUCUUUUUGUCAUUCAUCCCUCCCGGCCGCCCCAUCCACACUCCCAUCGCCUGCCGACUGUGGCUGAUCUGCUUUCUGCGGCUGUGGAUUAGUUUGCGUUCUCUACAAUUUUCUGAAGCACCAGUUAGCCCAGAUGCUUCUCAUCUUUGGAGUUGAGCUGCAGGCUGGAGACCUGGAAGGCCCUCGCAGCGCCUGCUCCCAUCCUCUCACCUCACGAAAGCGCAGGAAUGUGGGUUUGGAGCCAAUGAAAAGUACUGGAAUCUGGCUCUGCUCUGUGACCCUGGACAAGUCACUGCCCCUCUCUGGGCUUCAGUUUCCUCCUUGGUAACACAGAAUGAUUAUACCUACCCCUUGGGUUUGUUGACCUGAAUCUACCCCUCAGUCAUUGCCUUUCCUUCUUGCUGCAGCCACACUGGCCCCUUGACAGUUCCUUGAACACAACAAGCCCUUUCCCACCUCAGGGCCUUUGCAUGUGCAGUGCCAGAUGCCUGGAAUGUCCUUCCUUCCAAUCUCCCCAUGGCCGGCUCAUUCUCAUCUUUCUUGGCUCAAAUGUUACCUCCCCAACCUAGACAGCACCGCUGCCACCUCUUCACCCCGUCUUACUCUUCUUCAAGCACUUCUGGAGGUAUCUUGCUAUUUAUCUUGUUUAUAUCUUUUUCAGCUCCAUGAGGGCAGGGGAUUUUGUCUGUUUCAUUCACAAUGUGUUCCCAGAGCUCAGCACAGUGUCAGGCACACACUAGGUAACAGCACCUCGACUUCCUACUGAAGAACCCCCUCUUCCCUUUUCUCAGUCCAUGAGGCUGGGGGUGCCCAGAGGCCUCUGUCUCCAGGGGUGGACAUGUGACCGGGUCUUGCUCUAGUGAUUGGUCCAGGGAUGGGCACAUGACUGAGCCUGCCCAAUGAAACUUGAUCUUGGGACUUCAGGGUUGGCCAUGAUUUGUGAAGGAGAUGCCAUUUUCCAUUGGAUGGACAGUGAGCAAGUGAACGCUUAGAGAAGAAGAGGACAAAACAAGGGAAAAGCCUGCCUGACAGGAAGCAGCACAGAGCUGGACAGGCUUUGAACUCCUGGAUCCCACUGUACCUGAAAUUAGGCACCUUCAACUUUCUAGUUAUGUGAGCCACUGUCUUUCCCAUUUUUGGCUGAAAACAGUUGGGACUGGCUUUCUGUCCCUUGCAUACAGAAGGUGCUGACUGACCCCUGCCCCAUGGAAGAAGAUACUCCAGGCAGAGGAAAUAGUGUGUAUAGACACCCCUAAGCGAAUGCCAAGCGGGGCACUCAUGUACCAAGAAGAAGGAGGAGGAGGCACCUGGGAGCUGAGCUUAAGAGUUAGUCGGGUGGUCAAGGUGGGAGAAGGGGGUAUCUUUAGCAGAGGGAACAACCAUUGCAAAAGCUUGGAGGGGUGACUAGUUAGUGAAGAUCAACUGUGUGCUGAGCUCGUGUUGGGUGGCAAGGGACACAGACGAAAAGGGCACGGUGGAACCCAGCUACUUCUCACCUGCUCCAGCGCAGUGCAGGCUUGUCUGCUUUUGGAGCCGAGCCUGGACACCUCCGUGUCCUUCCCCCGGCAGAGUGCUGCCAGCACGCUGUCUCAGACUCUCCAGCAUCUCCUGGUUGAUGUGCAUCAUGGGGACCACACAAGAUUAUUUUAUAGGCUGCACAGGCAAAGCAUAAAAUCACCUCGGGUCACAUAGCGAGAGUUAUUCUCUCUGCAAAUUCUUUACAGUCUUUCCUUUAUAUCCAGAAGAGUCUCUGUGUGGUGCUAACUUGCCUCGAAGACCAAAUAAUUGCUAGUCUCCCUUUGUGAAAAGGAGAGCAGGUGUCAGGCUCAUUCAUGUCUCAGGCACACAAUUGUAUCUAGCUAGACUUUUCAAAAUGUCCUAUAGAGCUGCAGCACAUAUGAAUGAGGUGUCCAGCUGGUCCCAAACCUGUAAUCGGCACCCCAGUGAGCAGACUGGACAUCCCCACCCCCACAGCUGCCCUUUCUCCCCUCCACUCAUGUUCCCUCUAGGGCCACCACGAUCCCGACUUGUAUCACCACAGAUGAGUUUCACAUGUUUUUGAAUUUUACAUCUUAUCUGUUUUCUGUUCCUAUACAAGUUUGCCUUUUUUGAAUUCCAUAUAAGUGGGAUUCUACAAUGUGUUAUCUCAAUUUGAGUCUGUUUUUUUUUUCCUGCUCAGCAUGAUGUUUUUGAGAUGCAUAUAUGCGGUUUUGUGUAUCUGUAGAUGGUUCUUUUUUAUUGCAGAAUAAUGUUCCAGGGUAUGGAUGUACCAAAGCUUGUUCAUCCAUUCACCAGCUGAGGGAUAUUUGGACUGUUUCCAGUUUUCAGCCAUUAUAAAUAAAGCCACUAGAAACAUUUGCAAA